UUGGAUGUUGAGCGCUGCUGGAUCUUUGGUUCAGCUCGCUUUAAAUUUAUGAGCAGGCUCCUACUCUUUCGGACUGACUCAACGUGAUAAGAAAUUUCGUUGAGGACGCUUUACCGCGGCCGAAUGUUGGGGAAAUGCCGCUGCUAGUUGACCCCUAUAUUUUAGACCUCAAAUCAGGUGGGACUACCCGCUGAACUUAA
rnacentral:misc_RNA from 1 species